rnacentral:ncRNA from 1 species
UCCAUCGUGAGGUGGGAUCCGAAGGAAGCUGGAGGCAAACCCACGGCCCGAUGAACAAGAACCUCAUACGAGGCUACGCCGUUCGGAUGAGCUGGCAAGACACAGCGAAAUCCAAAGGCUGCCAAAGGGCGGCGGGUCAACGCGCUUACCCGGGGAGGCCUGCCGGA